ACGAGGAUUCCGAUAGUAACGGCGAGUGAACUCGGAAAAGCCCAGCGCUAAAUCGCACUGCUUUUGUAGUGUGAGGUGUAGCGUAUAGAGCGUAUUUUCCUAAGCCGACGUCGAUUUAAGUCUUCUAUGACUAGGGCUCCGCAGAAGGUUAUAGACCUGUCCAAUCGUCGUCGGUGGUGGAGCGUGCGUUCUUGGAGUCGGGUUGUUUGGGAUCGCAGCCCGAAGAAGGUGGUAAACUUCAUCUAAGGCUAAAUACGGCCACGAAACCGAUAGCAAACAAGUACCGUGAGGGAAAGUUGCAAAGCACUUUGAAGAGAGAGUUCAAGAGGACGUGAAACCGAUGAGAUGGAAACGGAAAGAGGUACCGAAAAUGCUUGUAUUCAGCUGCCUUUUUGCGUGUGCGUUGCCUUUGCGAUCCCGCUAGGGUUGCGAGGUAAGGCUUCAUGCGGACUGGCAGUGCAUUUGCGAGUAAUGUGCGCUGCGGCGUGUGGUUAGGUCAUCUGAUGCGUGAUUAGAGGACUCCUUUUGGAGAAACCUGGUUGCGCGGAUGUCGAUUCGAGCUGCAUGUUGAAGAAUUGGCCAACGUGCGGGGUGGCUGCUAAGGUCGUUCCUUGCGUAAAUCGCAUGCGAUUUGCGCUUGCGGAUAGCCUUGGUAGUCGCUUCGUAAACAGUUCCGACCGCAGUGUCAAAGGUGCUCAUCUUUCCGACCCGUCUUGAAACACGGACCAAGGAGUAUACAGUAUGUGCGAGUCAUUGAGUUCUAAACUCAAAGGCGUAAUGAAAGUAAAGAUUCCGUAAGGUUUUGAUAUGCGAUCUCGGUUGCCUCGGUAGCUGAGAGCAGCAUAGCCCCGUCUUGACCGCUUGCGGUAGGGCGGAGGUAGAGCGCAUGCUAUGUGACCCGAAAGAUGGUGAACUAUGCUUGAACAGGAUGAAGCCAGAGGAAACUCUGGUGGAAGUCCGAAGCGAUUCUGACGUGCAAAUCGAUCGUCUGAUUUGAGUAUAGGGGCGAAAGACUAAUCGAACCAUCUAGUAGCUGGUUCCCUCUGAAGUUUCCCCCAGGAUAGCUGGAGCCUUUGAUAUAGUUAUACUCGGUAAAGCGAACGAUUAGAGGACUUGGGGUUGAAAUGACCUUAACCUAUUCUCAAACUCUCAAUGGGUAUGUCGUCUUUGUUGCAUGCUAGAACAUUGACAUUGAAUAUAGGCUCCAAGUGGGCCAUUUUUGGUAAGCAGAACUGGCGCUGUGGGAUGAACCAAACGCGGUGUUAAGGUGCCAAACUUCCCGCUCAUUAGACCCCAUGAAAGGUGUUGGUUGAUAUAGACAGCAGGACGGUGGCCAUGGAAGUCGGAAUCCGCUAAGGAGUGUGUAACAACUCACCUGCCGAAUCAACUAGCCCUGAAAAUGGAUGGCGCUGGAGCGGGAGACCUAUACUCCGCCGUCAUUGACUUGAAGCUUGACAGCGGCUCUGGUCAUGACGAGUAAGAGGGUCGUAACGGUUUGCGUUGAAGGCUUUGGGCGUGGGCCCAGCUGGAGCUUCCGUUAGUGCAGAUCUUGGUGGUAGUAGCAAAUAUUCAAGUGAGAUCCUUGAAGACUGAAGUGGAGAAGGGUUCCACGCGAACCGCAUUGGCUUGUGGGUAAGUCGUUCCUAAGGUAUCGGCUAAUGCCGUAAUGAAAUGAGCUAAGAAUUUCUAAUUCUGCUCUGUUGCCGAAAGGGAAGCGGGUUAAUAUUCCCGCACCAGGACAAGGAGAUGGUCGUUCUUUUGAAUGGCUAAGCGCGGUAACGCAAAUGAACUCGCAUACACUGUAUAAAGCUCGGGCCAGAGUUCUCUUUUCUGGUUUAGGAGUUGUGUCCCUGGAAACGGCUCAGCUGGCGAUAGGGACGUUGGCUCCGUAAAGCACCGCGGUUCCUGUGGUGUCUCGUACGCUUUUUACGGUCCGUGAAAAUGCGAGGGAAGCUUAAUGAAUUUCUUGCCUGGCCGUACCGAUAUCCGCAGCAGGUCUCCAGGGUUUAUAGCCUCUAGUCGAUAGAAUAAUGUAGGUAAGGGAAGUCGGCAAAUUAGAUCCGUAACUUCGGGAAAAGGAUUGGCUCUAAAGGUUGGGUCGGUCGGACUGUUGCGUGAAACAGGCGGAUCUCGCCCGUGGCUGCGUUGGCUUCGGUCAGCGUGGACUAGUGGUGAGAGCUGCUUGUGGAUCGCUUCAGUUGCGUGUACGUUUCGGCGUGCACUUCGGCCGGCGAUAAACGACCGAUUUAGAACUGGCACGGACUCGGGGAAUCCGACUGUCUAAUUAAAACAGAGGAGACGGAUGGUCCAUGUGGACGUUGACCGUCUCUGAUUUCUGCCCAGUGCUCUGAAUGUUAACUCAAGGGAACUUGAUUAAGCGCGGGUAAACGGCGGGAGUAACUAUGACUCUCUUAAGGUAGCCAAAUGCCUCGUCAUCUAAUUAGUGACGCGCAUGAAUGGAUUAACGAGAUUCCCACUGUCCCUAUCUACUAUCUAGCGAAACCGCAGCCAAGGGAACGGACUUGGAAAAAACAGCGGGGAAAGAAGACCCUGUUGAGCUUGACUCUAGUCUGACUUUGUGAAGAAUCAUGAGAGGUGUAGCAUAGGUGGGAGACUUCGGUCGUCAGUGAAAUACCACUACUUUUAUCGAUUCCUUACUUAUUCGGUUAAACGGGAAUUGAACGCAAGUUCUUGAUUUUGGUGUUAAGGCCGGCCACUCGGUGGCUGGUCGACCCGCGCCGACGACAGUGUCAGGCGGGGAGUUUGACUGGGGCGGUACAUCUGUCAAAUAGUAACGCAGGUGUCCUAAGGCGAGCUCAGAGAGGACGGAAACCUCUCGUAGAGCAAAAGGGCAAAAGCUUACUUGAUCUUGAUUUUCAGUACGAAUACAGACCGCGAAAGCGUGGCCUAUCGAUCCUUUUGAGUUAUAAAGUUUCUAGCAAGAGGUGUCAGAAAAGUUACCACAGGGAUAACUGGCUUGUGGCAGCCAAGCGUCCAUAGCGACGUUGCUUUUUGAUCCUUCGAUGUC
rnacentral:rRNA from 1 species